rnacentral:rRNA from 1 species
AUUGAACGCUGGCGGCAUGCCUUACACAUGCAAGUCGAACGGUAACAGGUCUUCGGAUGCUGACGAGUGGCGAACGGGUGAGUAAUACAUCGGAACGUGCCUAGUAGUGGGGGAUAACUAAUCGAAAGAGUGGCUAAUACCGCAUGAGAUCUACGGAUGAAAGCAGGGGAUCGCAAGACCUUGUGACACUAGAGCGGCCGAUGACAGAAUAGGUAGUUGGUGGGAUAAAAGAUUACCAAGCCGACGAUCUGUAGAUGGUCUGAGAGGACGAUCAGCCACACUGGGACUGAGACACGGCCCAGACUCCUACGGGAGGCAGCAGUGGGGAAUUUUGGACAAUGGGCGAAAGCCUGAUCCAGCAAUGCCGCGUGCAGGAUGAAGGCCUUCGGGUUGUAAACUGCUUUUGUACGGAACGAAAAGCCCCGGGUUAAUACCCUGGGGUCAUGACGGUACCGUAAGAAUAAGCACCGGCUAACUACGUGCCAGCCGCCGCGGUAA